AGUGAACGCUGGCGGUAGGCCUAACACAUGCAAGUCGAACGGCAGCACAGUAAGAGCUUGCUCUUACGGGUGGCGAGUGGCGGACGGGUGAGGAAUACAUCGGAAUCUACUUUUUCGUGGGGGAUAACGUAGGGAAACUUACGCUAAUACCGCAUACGACCUACGGGUGAAAGCAGGGGAUCUUCGGACCUUGCGCGAUUGAAUGAGCCGAUGUCGGAUUAGCUAGUUGGCGGGGUAAAGGCCCACCAAGGCGACGAUCCGUAGCUGGUCUGAGAGGAUGGUCAGCCACACUGGAACUGAGACACGGUCCAGACUCCUACGGGAGGCAGCAGUGGGGAAUAUUGGACAAUGGGCGCAAGCCUGAUCCAGCCAUACCGCGUGGGUGAAGAAGGCCUUCGGGUUGUAAAGCCCUUUUGUUGGGAAAGAAAAGCAGCAGGUUAAUACCCCGUUGUUCUGACGGUACCCAAAGAAUAAGCACCGGCUAACUUCGUG
rnacentral:rRNA from 1 species